CCAAUCGAACUCGGAGAUAGCUGGUUCUCCUCGAAAUAGCUUUAGGGCUAGCGUCUGGUUAUUGAGUAAUGGAGGUAGAGCACUGAAUGGGCUAGGGGCUGACAACAGUUACUGAACCCUAUCAAACUCCGAAUGCCAUAUACUUUUAUCCAGGCAGUCAGACUGCGAGUGAUAAGAUCCGUAGUCGAGAGGGAAACAACCCAGACCAUCAGCUAAGGUCCCAAAGUGUAAGUUAAGUGGAAAAGGAUGUGGGAUUUCUAAGACAAC
rnacentral:rRNA from 1 species